GUCCACGCUGUAAACGAUGAGUGCUAGUUGGUGGGGACACUACCUUUUCACCGACGAAGCUAACGCAUUAAGCACUCCGCCUGGGAAGUACGGCCGCAAGGCUAAAACUCAAAGGAAUUGACGGGGGCCCCGCACAAGCGGUGGAGCAUGUGGUUUAAUUCGAAGCAACGCGCAGAACCUUACCCAGGCUUGACAUCCAUGGAAUCCUCUGGAAACGGGGGGUGCUUCGCAGAAGGAGCCAUGAGACAGGUGCUGCAUGGCUGUCGU
rnacentral:rRNA from 1 species